GCGAAGCAGGGAAUUCUGAAAGCAUUGUUAAUGAUUUUUGUAGUGAGAGUGAGACACAAAUACACUUCCAUGUAUUUGGGUGUCCAAAUUGGAACGCGAAGUUUAGUAAAAUAGCUGCAUAACAAGGAAAUCCGCAGAUAUCAUGCUGCAGAGAUAUUAUCAGUUCUUAAUAAGGAUGUGUUCUUAUGGGUUCUUUUUGAAGUGACUCCUGCUUUCUAUAUUUGAUUAACAUUUGCAAGGCCCAAAAAUAUAUUUGGCACUUUGGGAAUUUUUGGGCUGUAGCAACUCUCUACUCAUACUUGUAUGCUACAUGCCUACAACUCUACAAGCCUUCAAAUACAACUUUGAUAUUGGUUUUUGAUCAUCUCUAGUUACGAGUUAUCCAAUAUUGAACCAGCUAUUGGUGAAGAAGUCAUUUAAUAUUGCAAAAGGGAAAAGAUUGUGUAUUGCAAUCCGUAGUUUAUACAUCCGGUGCACAAUGCAUACUGUGCACCCUGUACGAAAAGAUAGCCCACGAGUGUUGACUAUGUUUUUUCUUUUGGUUGAAAAUUAUUCAAAUCUUUUUGUGUUUCAUGGUACAAAGUCUUUGGUGGGUACACAACUACACACUGCCAUAUGAUGAUUUCAAAGCCCAUGUUGAAGCCACACAUAUCUUCCUGAUGGGAUUACCUUUCAAUCUUUCAUGCCCACCACCUGUCUGUUAAAAUGUCCAACAGACUUGAUGACCACAAAAUAAUCUGCUAACAAUUUUUGUCUUCUUUACAGGCAACAUAUUAUGAUCAGAAUUUCUUGAGAAACAAGAAAGAUUACAAAUGGGUCAAGCUCAAACAAAGAGGAACAAAAACAAGAAUAAGAAAAACCCAAAGUUUGAUUCUUUGGAGGAGUAUUUCAUUAAAAAUGGAGGUAUUUUGCUAGAAAAACAAAUUGCUCUGAGUCAAGGCCAACAUAAAGGAGCUGGGCAGCUGAAAAUUUUCUCAAGUAAGGAUAUUACAAAGGCUACUAACAACUAUGACCCUGAUCUCAUUGUUGGAAGAAAUUCUCAUCAUACCGUCUAUAAAACAACCAUUGAAGAUCGUAUGGUAGCCAUCCAAGCUCCGUCAAAGCGAGAGUCAAAUCCCGAACUGAUUGAUUUAACCUUGACUGAAGCCUGUACAGUGAUGGUCAUGAAUCAUGACAAUAUGGUAAAACUCUAUGGUUGUUGCCUCGAGACUUUUGUACCAAUACCAGUUUACGAGUUCUUAAAUACUGACCUUUUUCAUCAUUUACAUGGUGAUACUGCAUCCAGUAAGUGUAUAAAGUGGGCUGAUCGUUUGAGGGUCGCAACUGAUACAGCCUACGCGCUAUCUUAUAUGCAUAAUGCCUUGGCAAAGCCGGUAGUGCACAGGGAUGUUAAUUCAUCUAGUGUGCUUCUUGAUUUUUCGUGUAAUGCUAAACUGGCUAACUUUGCGUACUCUGUAUCAAUUACUCCAGGGGAAAAGCCUCAAAGGUGGCCUAUUGAAGGAACACCGGGAUAUAUUGAUCCCGAGUAUGUAGAAACUCAUGAGGUGACUGAUAAGUGUGAUGUUUAUAGUUUCGGUGUUUUGUUGUUGGAGUUGUUAACUAGAAGGUCUCCUUGUUUGAUGAUGGCUAGAGGUGGGACAGAUUUGGUUGGUUUGGUUGUUUCUAUGGUGGAAAGAAAUUGCUUGAUUGAAAUGGUUGACAGUGAGGUGUUGGAACAAGCUAGUUUGGAUGAGAUAGAACAGGUUGCGAAGCUUGCAAUGAUAUGUGUAGCUAAGAAAGGAGUUGAGAGACCAACUAUGGUUGAAGUUGUUACGCGGCUUUGGCAGAUAAAAGGUCGAGAGCUGAACUGAACCAAACAGAUCCUGAUAAUAAUUGUCAGAAAAUAAUUUUGGAAUUCAGCUAAUGAGUAUCAGAUAUCUUGCAUUCUGGAAACAGAAGACUAGUAGAAUUUGCAGAUGCUGAAUUGAUUAAGGAAGUCAGAUUUGAGUUGGGACUAGUUGUUCCCCGUUGAGGAAACAGAGGAAAGAUGCCGUACUUUUUAUUACCGAUUGGUUUUAGGAUGGAACCCCACAGCCCACAGGGCUUGUAUGUGGUGAGACGUGUACUAUGUUAUUCUUAAUAAAGUUAUAAUUUUGUCCCAUUAGGAGAAGGUUGACUGUGAUGACUUGACCUCAUAAUCUCAUAUAAUUCAUUCAAUACUCAAUGAAAUUUUUUGGGUUCUUUCAAUCUGAUCUGUGAUACAGUGAAGUUUUCUGUUUGUCCAGACUUUCUGGAUUCUGAUAACAGUGGAUGAUCUCUCGUUCUUUGAUGUGGGGAGUGUCAAAGGUGAGCGGAAAUUUAGGCCAGAACAAGGAAGCAUAAAUGGUUCAAACUCAAACAAAGUACAAGAAGAAGAUGAAGAAAAGGCCAAAAUUUGAAUCCAGGGAAGAGUAUUUUAUCAAAAAUGGAGGAAUUUUGUUGGAAAAGCAAAUUGCUCUGUGCCAAGGGAAGCUGAAGACUCUCUCAAGCAGGGAAAUCAAGAACGUUACAGAACUCGUACCACCAUGAAUAAAGCAACCCUUGAAGCUGAGCAAAAUUUCUUGAAAAAACAAGAAAGAUUACAAAUGGGUCAAGCUCAAACAAAGAGAAGCAAGAACAAGAAUAACAGGAACCUAAAGUUUGAUUCAAUGGAGGAGUAUUUUAUAAGAAAUGGAGGUAUUUUGCUGGAAAAACAAAUUGCUUUGAGUCAAGGCCAACAUAAAGGAGCUGGGCAGCUGAAGAUUUUCUCAAGAAAUGAUAUUGAAAAGGCUACUAACAACUAUGACCCUGAUCUAAUUGUCGGAAGAAGUGCUCAUCAUACCGUCUAUAAAACGACCAUCGAAGAUCGUGUGCUAGCCGUUCAAGCUCCGUCAAAGCGAGAGUCAAACCCCUUACUGAUUGAUUUAACCUUGACUGAAGCCUGUACAGUGAUGGUCAUGAAUCAUGACAAUAUGGUAAAACUCUAUGGUUGUUGCCUUGAGACUUUUGUGCCGAUACCAGUUUAUGAGUUCUUAUCAAAUGCUGACCUCUUUCAUCAUUUACAUGGUGAUAUUGCAUCUAGCAAGCGUAUAAAGUGGGCUGAUCGUUUGAGGGCCGCAACUGAUACAGCCUACGCGCUAUCUUAUAUGCAUAAUGCUUUGGCAAAGCCGGUAGUGCACAGGGGUGUUAAUUCAUCUAGUGUGCUUCUUGAUUUCUCAUGUAAUGCUAAGUUAACAAACUUUGGGUACUCUGUAUCAAUUACUCCAGGGGAAAAGCCUCAAAGGUGGCCUAUUGAGGGAACACCGGGAUAUAUUGAUCCCGAGUAUGUAGAAACUCAAGAGGUGACUGAUAAGUGUGAUGUUUAUAGUUUUGGGGUUCUUUUGUUUGAGCUUUUAACCAGAAGGCAGCCUAUUUUGAUGGCCAGAGAUGGGACAGACUUGGUUGAUGUGUUUGUUUCAGCUGUGAGGAAGAAUUGCGUGAUGGAGAUAAUCGACAGUGAAGUCUUGGAAGAAGAAAAUAGGGAUGGGAUUCAACGGGUUGCACGGCUUGCAUUGUCGUGUGUAGCAAAGAAAGGGGCUGAGAGACCGACCAUGAUUGAUGUUGUUGGUGAGCUUUGGAACAUACAAGGUAAAGACAACAAGUGAAGUGGAAAUUGUGCUUGAAAUGUCAGGUUUAAGAAAAAUGAUGCAGAUAAGCAAGGUGAGCAGCAGAGGACGAGAGGCAACUAGAUAAAACAGAAGAGGUUUUUCAAUGGCAUGUGUAGCUAAGAAAGGAGUUGAGAGACCAACUAUGGUUGAAGUUGUUACACGGCUUUGGCAGAUACAAGGUCGAGAGCUGAACUGAACCGAACAGAUCCUGAAAAAAAUUGGUCAGAAAAUAAUUUUAGAAUUCAGCUAAUGAGUAUCAGAUAUUUUGCAUUCUGGAAACAGAAGACUAGUAGAAUAGGCAGAUGCUGAAUUGAUUAAGCAAGACAAAUUCAUAUUGAAGUUUGUUAAUAAAAGCAAGUCACAUUUUGGUUGGGACUAGUUGUUCCCCGUUGAAGAAAUAGAGGAAGGAUGCUUUAUUUCUAUUACCAAUUAAGUUUCUAUUCAUCCACUCAUCCAGUCUUAGCUCUCUGAUAACAGUGGAUGAUCUCGGCGUGGGAGUGUCAAAGGUACCCUUUCCCCUUCUAAUGUAUUUCCUUUCCAUUUUAUUUCCUAAAUUUAUACCAAACAUGCCCUAAGCUAAGUGUGGAUUAUGUCAUUGUGUUGUACUGGUAAUAAUGCUGGAUGUUUUCUUUCUGAUUUUCCUGUUAUAAUCAGUUCCGGUUAAAGGUCUGAAAGUCUGAAACUAAUGGCAAGAAUCCUCCUACCACUAGGAGAGGUAGUAUGGUUUCGCAAUGGUUAAAAAAAGAUUGAUCAUUAUGUUUUCGAUGUCUAAAGUAAUUAAUCAAAUUGUUGUAGAAUUUAGUUAUGAAUUUUUGUUGAUUAGGUUUUAUGUAUGGAGGUAGACGUUAUAUUCAAAUGUUUAUUGAUCACUGAGUCAAAUAACAUACUCCUGUCUGUACUUAUUUUUGUUGUUUAAUUGGAUUUGUUUCAUCAAAAGGUCUUGCGCGCACAAGGUGUACAAUAAAUUUAU